UAUCCAGAAUGUCUCUUCCUCCCUUCUCUUAUCCCCUAUUUAUAGGAGUGGAAAGCCAUGAAGGAAAGGUUGCCACCAUUCCGUCAUACUGUUUUAUCUAAAAGUUGUCACCUUUUAUCAUGUCACUUCACUUAAAAGGUAAUCACUCUUUACAUAUGGUUUUAUCUAAAAGGUCUUUUCACAUGCCACUUUAUUUAAAAGGUUAUCACUUUU
rnacentral:lncRNA from 1 species